GGUCCUGUAGCUCAGUUGGUCAGAGCAAUCGGCUGUUAACCGAUAGGUUCUUGGUUCGAGUCCAAGCCGGGGAGCCA
rnacentral:tRNA from 1 species